ACGGAGGGUGCAAGCGUUAAUCGGAAUUACUGGGCGUAAAGCGCGCGUAGGCGGCUAAGUAAGUCGGAUGUGAAAGCCCUGGGCUUAACCUGGGAAUUGCAUUCGAUACUGCUUGGCUAGAGUAUGGUAGAGGAUAGUGGAAUUCCUGGUGUAGCGGUGAAAUGCGUAGAUAUCAGGAGGAACAUCAGUGGCGAAGGCGGCUAUCUGGACCAAUACUGACGCUGAGGUGCGAAAGCGUGGGGAGCAAACAGG
rnacentral:rRNA from 1 species